rnacentral:rRNA from 1 species
CGGAACUUUCCAGAGAUGGAUUGGUGCCUUCGGGAACCGUGAGACAGGUGCUGCAUGGCUGUCGUCAGCUCGUGUUGUGAAAUGUUGGGUUAAGUCCCGCAACGAGCGCAACCCUUAUCCUUUGUUGUGUAAGCGACGGUAACGCUCGGCGUUGGUGGGAUCGAGCAUCGUCAUCAUUUUGUACUGGUUAGACAAAAUCAGACGUUGCGCGUUGGUCAUUUCCAUUUUGAACUCCUGUAUCACGCUAUGGCGAU